GUUGAGGCAUUGGGAGCCCAUUUCCAAGUGCAAGACCUGGAGUACACAGUUCCCAACAAAACAAGCAGAUCGGUCCUGCUUGCACAGAGCUGUAGUUACAACAAUGGCAGACAUUCUUAGUAAAGCAAUGGUGGUAAUUAUCCUGGCAGGCUAUUACAAAGAACAUGAUUAUAAAAAUACCAUGUGCAACAGUGAUGACAAAACUGAAACAUGGUAAAUUCUAAAGGACUCCAUGAUUGAUCAGUGGGGAAACAAGGUCAAAGUAAAAAGGAACCAGUGUUGUUGUACGUUAUUAUUCAACUUUGAAAUGUGCAUGAUGGGUAAUAUAAUUUGAAAAGCGUCAAUAUUGCCUUUUUGGAUACAAAAUCUUCACUCUAUUGUAUAUUAUUAAUCCUAUGAAGAAACUGAUAUAUGUCACUGUGAGAUGUAAGAAGAAGAACCUAGAAAAUACUCGAUCUGAACUUGCAAAUUUAAGUAUAUUGUGAGAAAAUGGUUUGGGAAAAGUAUUUUCCAGAUUCUAAUUAUACCAUUGCUGUCCCUACUUAAGUAUAUUAACUAACAAUAGGUCUGAAAGACUAGAAUGAUAAGAUUAUUGUGUGGUAUGGAAUGGAUCUCUUUUAGACUAACCAAGUACUAGAGAAAAGUUCUAAAACAAGGGAGGAAUGAAAAGAGAACUUUCUCAUUUGUUCUGGACUAAAUGUGUAUGUCCCCCUAAAAUUCAUUUGUUGAAAUGCUCACCUGCAAAAUGAUGGUACAGUAGUCCCCCCUUAGGCACGGUUACCCUUUCUGCAGUUUCUACUUAUGGUCAACCACCAUCUGGAAGCAGUGAUCCUACUCCACACAUCGGAAGGUGAAUAGUGGCCUAAAGCUACAUUACAAUGUCAGGCCAAUCACCACACUUCAUCUUACCAUUUUAUCAUCUCACAUCAUCACAAGGUGACGAAAGUAGAAUAAGAUGUGGAGAAAGGGAAAGGACCAUAUCCACAUAACUUUCAUUACAGUGUAUAGUUAGUUGUUCUGUUUUACUAGUAGUUAUUGUUGCUCGUCUCUUUGUGUGCCUAAUUUAUAAAUCAAACCUUAUCAUAGGUA